rnacentral:rRNA from 1 species
CCUACGGGAGGCAGCAGUGGGGAAUAUUGGACAAUGGGCGCAAGCCUGAUCCAGCCAUACCGCGUGGGUGAAGAAGGCCUUCGGGUUGUAAAGCCCUUUUGUUGGGAAAGAAAUCCAGCUGGCUAAUACCCGGUUGGGAUGACGGUACCCAAAGAAUAAGCACCGGCUAACUUCGUGCCAGCAGCCGCGGUAAUACGAAGGGUGCAAGCGUUACUCGGAAUUACUGGGCGUAAAGCGUGCGUAGGUGGUCGUUUAAGUCCGUUGUGAAAGCCCUGGGCUCAACCUGGGAACUGCAGUGGAUACUGGACGACUAGAGUGUGGUAGAGGGUAGCGGAAUUCCUGGUGUAGCAGUGAAAUGCGUAGAGAUCAGGAGGAACAUCCAUGGCGAAGGCAGCUACCUGGACCAACACUGACACUGAGGCACGAAAGCGUGGGGAGCAAACAGGAUUAGAUACCCUGGUAGUCCACGCCCUAAACGAUGCGAACUGGAUGUUGGGUGCAAUUUGGCACGCAGUAUCGAAGCUAACGCGUUAAGUUCGCCGCCUGGGGAGUACGGUCGCAAGACUGAAACUCAAAGGAAUUGACGGGGGCCCGCACAAGCGGUGGAGUAUGUGGUUUAAUUCGAUGCAACGCGAAGAACCUUACCUGGCCUUGACAUGUCGAGAACUUUCCAGAGAUGGAUUG